UAGAAGGCCUAAGGUGUGUAUAACUGUCAAG
rnacentral:piRNA from 1 species